ensembl:misc_RNA
UUGACAACCCUGGACACUGAUGGCCUCUUUAUCUACAGAGCAGGUACAACCCAGGCACCGGCAGUGCAAGCUUCCGCCACACUGCCCCCUGCCAACGUGCCUCCACCCUGGCCUGGAGAGACCAUCUCUAGAGGCGAGGGGGAGAGCAGUUUCCUUGGUCCAUUCAGUCUUUGACCUCU